GGGUGACUAGUGACAGAGUGAGGGAAUGGGUGACUAGUGGCAGAGUGAGGGAGGGAAGAGAUGACUAGUGGCAAAGUGAGGGAGGGAAGGGGUGACUAGUGACAGAGUGAGGGGGGGUGACUGUCACUAGUCACCCCAUCCCUCUCUCUGUCACUAGUCACUCCCUCCCUACUCUGUCACUGUGACUCCCUCCCUAACUCUGUCACUGUGUCACCCGCUCCCUCUCUCUGUCACUAGUCACCCCAUCCCUCUCUCUGUCACUAGUCACCCC